AUGGGCCCUUGCCAAACAUAUCGCUUAUUGAGUGCACAAAACGGCGGGCAGGCAAAUAUUGGAUGCACGAAGCGUGAUUUACAGAAUUAUGGUCAUGAUAUCGCUGAGAUAAUUAAAGAUGCAGAUGCACAAACAAUCAUUGAUGCUAUGAAGAGUAAGCAAAGUAUCAAUCCAACUUUCUUCUUUGAUUAUGAACGAGAUGAAGAGGACAAGUUAACCCACAUUUUUUGGGCUGAUGGUACAUGCAGAAAGAACUAUGCACUAUUUGGUGAGGUGAUGUCCUUUGAUUCCACAUAUAGUACUAAUCAAUACAACCUAGUUUUUUCCCCUUUCACUGGUGUGAACCAUCACAAGGCAUGUGUUACAUUUGGUGCUGCAUUUGUAUGCCAUGAAAAGGUUUGGUCGUACAAAUGGUUAUUCAAGACCUUUCUAAAGGCAAUGGGAGGUGUUGCACCUAAACUUAUCAUUACCGAUGAGGACCAAAGCAUGAAAGCUGCAAUCAAAGAAGUAUUCCCUCAAACUGUACACAGACUUUGCAUGUGGCAUAUUCUCUACAAAGUCAAGAAGCUUUAA
rnacentral:rRNA from 1 species